CGGCAGGCUUAACACAUGCAAGUCGAGGGGCAGCGGGAUGUAGCAAUACAUUGCCGGCGACCGGCGGAUGGGUGCGUAACGCGUAUGCAACCUACCUAUACAGGGGAAUAACCUUUCGAAAGGGAGACUAACACCCCAUAGUAUUGAUUUAAGGCAUCUUAGAUUAAUUAAAUAUUUAUAGGUAUAAGAUGGGCAUGCGUAUGAUUAGCUAGUUGGUAAGGUAACGGCUUACCAAGGCGACGAUCAUUAGGGGUUCUGAGAGGAAGGUCCCCCACACUGGUACUGAGACACGGACCAGACUCCUACGGGAGGCAGCAGUGAGGAAUAUUGGUCAAUGGGCGCAAGCCUGAACCAGCCAUGCCGCGUGCAAGGAAGACGGCCUUAUGGGUUGUAAACUGCUUUUACAUAAGACUAACCGUAUAUUUGCGAAUAUACCUGAAUGUAUUAUGAGAAUAAGGAUCGGCUAACUCCGUGCCAGCCGCCGC
rnacentral:rRNA from 1 species